GGGGGCGUAGCUCAGUUGGGAGAGCGCCUGCUUUGCAAGCAGGAGGUCGCCGGUUCGAGCCCGGUCGUCUCCA
rnacentral:tRNA from 1 species